rnacentral:misc_RNA from 1 species
GAUGAAGAACGUAGUGAAAUGCGAUAAGUAGUGUGAAUUGCAGAAUUCAGUGAAUCAUCGAAUCUUUGAACGCACAUUGCGCCCCUUGGUAUUCCAUGGGGCAUGUCUGUUCGAGCGUCAUUUGUACCUUCAAGCUCUGCUUGGUGUUGGGUGUUUGUCUCGCCUCUGCGUGUAGACUCGCCUCAAAACAAUUGGCAGCCGGCGUAUUGAUUUCGGAGCGCAGUACAUCUCGCGCUUUGCACUCAUAACGACGACGUCCAAAAGUACAUUUUUACACUCUUGACCUCGGAUCAGGUAGGGAUACCCGCUGAACUUAAGCAUAUCAAUAAGCGGAGGA